GAACUGUGACCUUCAAUUACUUCACUUCCGUGCCAGUUUUUGGCUGUAGUUCGAGACCCAGUCGCGAUGAAUGGGUGUGUAUUGGCUGAAUUGGAUUGGACGACUACAACACCCACAAUGCACCUCGCAAGGUUACGUAACGUCCCAGCGUCCGUCGGGGAAGCAGUUGACAGCAGUGAAGAGCAGGCCGAAGUGGGUAAACAAAACAAACAUAUGAAGAAAAGACUGAGAACUACCCCAAAGUUUGGUCUUAUUUUAUAUUUAUAUGAUGUUUGACGUCGUUCUAAAGCGACUUGAAGCCCGCUGAAGUAGAAAGUCGGUAGCUAAGAGAGGGCGUGCACCUGUCAAAGCUAAAUAGGUUAACGCGGCUAACGUGUGCUCGCUCAGGUUAGCUCGGCCAUGUCGUCCCCCUCCUCCUCCAGGCGCCAGUGGUGCUACCUGUGCGACCUGCCAAAGAUGCCGUGGACCGUGGUGUGGGACUUCAGCGAGGUGGUCUGUCGCGGCUGUGUGAACUACGAGGGCGCCAAUCAGAUUGAAUUCCUCAUUGCGAGUGCCAGACAGCUGAAACGGACUCAUGGGAUGCAGGACGGUAACGUUCGGUCACCCGGUCCGUCGCCCAAUAAACACGGCACGACUGGCAGAGGAGAGGCGGUGGCAGACGGGGGCAGACCGCACACCGACCGCUUUGAGAGGGGAGGGAGAGGAGAAAGUGCCGGGUCUGCUAUCCGUGUGCCGCCAAACGGGCUGCACCGUGAUGGGCAGCCGCCACCGGAGGUGAACCGGCAGAGCCCUAGCGGGAGCAGGAGACCCAUGCUAGGCGCUGCCAUCCCUCCCAGUCUAGUAACUCAAAGUAUUGCAGGGAUCCCUCAUGGGCUGCUUGCAGGCAUGCCGGCGGGUCUGACCGCCAGGACCGCCCCUAUGAGCAGCCCCAUGAUCUUCCCUGCUCCGGUGUUGGCCGAGAUGAGCCGCAGACAGCUGGGAAUAGGAAUGGGGAUAGGCCCUUACAUCUCAGCUCCGGAGCUUGAGCGGGAGCUGAGUGCAUCCCAGAACCAGUCCAAGAUACAGACGCAGGUCCACACGUCUGUGGCUAGCAGUAGCACCGGCAAAAACACAGGCCUCCCUUCCUCGUCCUCCUCCAUGGCUGGAGGUGUGAGCCAGACAAGCCCAAAGCCUGCCUCAUCCCCAGCCAGGCAACCACGACCCUUGGCCGCGAGGUCAGGAGGAGAGCCCCUGGGAUCCAGCUCCUCUGCAGAAGCAGCCACCACAGCUGCAGCUUUACCCCACAGUGGUGCCUCCGAGCUGGGAUCAGCGUCAGCAAACAACACCCACUCAACCGGAAACACUCUGUCCUGCACCUUGUGUCACGAGAGGCUGGAAGACACACACUUUGUCCAGUGUCCAUCAGUGCCAGGGCACAGGUUCUGCUUCCCCUGCACCAGAGUGUACAUCCAGAGCCGACGGGGUGAUGGGGAGGUGUACUGCCCCAGCGGAGAGCGCUGUCCGUUGGAUAACUCUCCCAACAGUCCUCCUUGGGCCUUCAUGCAGGGAGAGGUCUCCACUAUACUGGGCACCGGUGCAGCAGGAGCAGGAGCUGCAUCGGCCGCUGCAUCUGGAGCGGGGACCGGGCCUGGGCCUGGGCCAGGAGCUGCAUCCGGGGCCGGAGCCGGAGCUGCAAGUGGAGACGUCACCGUCAAGAAAGAGAGAGAGACGUGAUGAUAAUUUCCACUGAAACCAGGACCCAACACAGCCACAGGCAGGUCCACAGAUGUCAGAGUCCUGUUUUUAGUAGAAAGCAGCAUGCACGUUGUAUCACACACCAGAGGGAGACGUCUGCACUGGACCACUCACAGAUCCAGAGGAGAAGCCACACGCAGUGACCCAAAGUUCAGAAAAAACUCAUUUACACAGGUUUUAACUUCAUCUACUCACACCGCCCACUUUAAUCAACAUUAUCAGACCUCGCCAGAUAUCUGAUGAAAGUUGCAAAGUGUGCCUUCACAAAUUGUCAUUAUUUGAUUUUUCUUUUCUUUUCUAAGCAAAGUUUGACUUUGCCAACAUUAUUUGGCAACACCUAAAUCUUAUAGUUCUGAUGAGGACAUAAAUAUUGAAUUUUAUGAAUCACAUUUAGUUUUCAAUUCACCAGUUCUGGAAAACAAUUGUCAAAUACUCAAUCUAGCAAAUAAUAACGCCACAACUUUCCCCAAGUCUGUGGCUAAUUUAAGCAGGAAGAUUAAAAAGGAUUUUAUGAUGCUGUUGGAAUCAGAUAUUCAGGACCAAUCAGCUGAAGGCAGGCUACUUUUUGUAAAGUAAGACCUGACUGCAGUUGAAACCAUGAUAAUGUCCACAUCAACACUUCAAACCACUAUUAGCAAGCAGAAAUGACACAUUGACUACACCAGUUGUCCACAACAUUGUCUCAUUUUUCUACAAACUUACGUCAUCUGGAAAUUUUGAAAAAGAUUCUUUGAUCACAUUAAAAAAAAUCUUUGCACUGCAACUUUAAGAUGCACCUAUAGAACCAACCAAUGCAAAUGUUUCUAUCUCUAUAAAGCCAGCAGAAUAUAUAAUUGGCAUUGGAUGCAGUUGCUAAUAGUAGCCUGUUAGCA